CUGAGAGGUUAAGCCACGCCCCCCGUGGCGCCGCCCAUUGUGGGCCACGUGAUCCGUAGCUUCUUUUUGGACAGUCUUUGGGCGCCCACGUGACGCAGCUCGGCCAUGUUUUAGCUUCUGCUCCCCGUUGAGAUGCUCUGGGCUCACACCACCUUCUAGGAAUUCGCUGUAGCGUUCCCGGGCUGCCCCGCAGCAUCCGAGUGUGCGCCCUGGUGAACUGAAAGACGCUCAUGUUUACACGCUAUCGCAGCUGCGUCUCUUUUAGAGAUAAUGGUAUCCAUCUGCCUCCUGCCUCUGAUGACUCGGUUAAUAUUUCUGUGUUCCCAGGGGACUGUAGUUUCUUGUUUCCCAGGCACGGGUAGAGCUACGAUGAACUCAGGGUGGAAAUUCUGACUAGUAAGCCCUCACUCCCUGAUGUCCCUUCUUCAGACAAGUUUUAAAGGUCAUGACUGCUUGGAGGAGAGAGAUGCUACUAACUGACCCGCCCACUCACUGCUGGAUGGCUGACGGAAAUUUAAAUCUAAGUUUACCUCGCCCUAGCGGCCCUGGAACAGUUCCAACAGGAGACAGAGCUCCGCACUGUCCCAGCGCGCCUCCUGCCGGCUGCCCCACAAAGUGCGCUCCGACACCUGGGACUAGAGGCUGGGACUUGCUCCUUCAUGGACAUGCUUCAGUGUGGUCAACUAUAUUGCCGUUCCACCCUGCAUCUAAUCAUUCAUUUAUUCAUUAAAAAAAUGGUUCAGCAGUUAAGAGCACCUCCAGAGGAACUGGGUUUGGCUCUCACCUUUCUUGGUGGCUCAUAACCGCUUUUAAUGGUUCCAGCAAAUCUGAUGCCCUUUCUAUUAUCCACAGAUAUUGUAUGCAUGCGUGGUGCACAAACAUACUCGUUAAAUAAAUAAAAAUAAGUAAUUUUUUUUCCAAUGGUGCAAAGCCAGGAGUGGUGGCACACUCCUAGCACGUGGGAGGUUGGGGCAGGAGGACCUGGAGUUCAAAGCCAUCUUGUGCUAAUGCCAUAUUCAAGCUCAUCCUAAGCUACAUAAGACCUUGUGAACAUACACAUAUAUAUCUAUACAUACACAUACACAUCUAUCUAUAUAUUAAUUCACUGUGCGACCCACUCCUUCACUGAUGGACUCCCCUCACGCCCCACGUCAUAGUAUUUUGCCCAGCAACACCUCAAUACUAUUUAAAUUCCACUUUCCACUUGCACCCGGACAACCAUAGAGAGAAGGGGGGUAGGACCAUGCUUGUUGACUGGUAAUACUUCACAUUCAUGAUCUGCAGUGUGUCUUUAAAAUUAGCUGCUAAUGUAGUCAGACUACAAUACUAUAUAUGUAUAAAGAACGUCAAAAUAAACCCAUUAUUUUAUAUGCUAACUAAAAAUAAUAAAAAAAGAAGAAAUGCC
rnacentral:lncRNA from 1 species